rnacentral:sRNA from 1 species
CAUUACACAAAUAUGAAGGCGGGCUGGAACCUCUCGGGGUUACAGCCUUGCUGAAUUAUUCACCCUUGUCUUUUGCGUACUUCUUGUUUCCUUGGUGGGUUCGCCCACCACUAGGACAACCAUAAACCUUUUGUAAUUGCAAUCAGCGUCAGUAACAAAUUAAUAAUUACAACUUUCAACAACGGAUCUCUUGGUUCUGGCAUCGAUGAAGAACGCAGCGAAAUGCGAUAAGUAGUGUGAAUUGCAGAAUUCAGUGAAUCAUCGAAUCUUUGAACGCACAUUGCGCCCUUUGGUAUUCCAAAGGGCAUGCCUGUUCGAGCGUCAUUUGUACCCUCAAGCUUUGCUUGGUGUUGGGCGUCUUGUCUCUAGCUUUGCUGGAGACUCGCCUUAAAGUAAUUGGCAGCCGGCCUACUGGUUUCGGAGCGCAGCACAAGUCGCACUCUCUAUCAGCAAAGGUCUAGCAUCCAUUAAGCCUUUUUUUCAACUUUUGACCUCGGAUCAGGUAGGGAUACCCGCUGAACUUAAGCAUAUCAAUAAGCGGAGGAAAGAAAACACCAACCC